rnacentral:rRNA from 1 species
AACGGGUAAKAUGUGAUGUACCUAAUAGUAUUAGUGAUUAAUAUGAAAUUAACUAAGUUAAUUAAAAUUCGAAGUAGAUAAAUGAUUAUGACAAUAUUUGCUUAUUUCUUGACCAAGUCACGUGCCAGCAGUCGCGGCAAUACGUGGAAGAUCAGUGUUAUUCAUCUUUAGUAGGUUUAAAGGGUACCUAGACGGUUAAUUAAGCAUAUUUGUGUACUAAUUAUUAACUAGAGUUUAAUGUAAGAAGGAUUGAGUACGGUGAGUGUAGAGAUAAAAUUCUGUCAUACCACUUAGGAACUGGUAAAGGCGAAGGCAACCUUUUAUGUGAAAACUGACGUUAAGGGACGAAGGCUCGUAUUAAGUAAUAGGAUUAGAGACCCUAGUAUUGUGGGCAGACAAUGAUGAGUGUCAUAUGCAAGAAAUAUUUUGUGUAUAAAUGAAAGUGUAAGCACUCCACCUCAAGAGUAACGUGGCAACAUGGGAACUGAAAUCAUUAGACCGUUUCUGAAACUCGUAGUGAAGUAUGUUGUUUAAUUUGAUGAUCCACAAAUAACCUUACCACAAUUUGAAUUACUAGCGAUUUUACUUGGAACAUUUAUUAGUUGUUUCUUUUACUAAUAGUUUAGCUUUUCUAUUCGUAUUUUAUCGAUAGCUACUAAAUGUUUAAAAGUAAUUUUUUAGUAACAAGUGUUGCACGGCUGUCUUCAGUCAAUGUUGUGAAACUUUGGUUAGAUCCAUUAAAUUGACGUAAACCCUUGCUUUAUUUAAAAUAAAGCAGUUCGCCGCUAU